GGGGAUUUAGCUCAGCGGCAUAAGCAUCUACUUUGCAAGCAGACAGUCGUGAGUUCAAUCCCCG
rnacentral:tRNA from 1 species